rnacentral:rRNA from 1 species
GAUGAACGCUAGCGGCAGGCUUAACACAUGCAAGUCGAGGCGCAGCACGGAAGUGGUAACACUUUUGGUGGCGACCGGCGGACGGGUGCGUAACGCGUAUGCAACCUACCUUUAACAGGGGGAUAACGGAGAGAAAUUUCCACUAAUACCCCAUAACAUCGAUCAAGGCAUCUUGAUUGGUUGAAAACUCCGGUGGUUAAAGAUGGGCAUGCGUUGUAUUAGGUAGUUGGUGAGGUAAUGGCUCACCAAGCCUACGAUACAUAGGGGGACUGAGAGGUUAGCCCCCCAAACUGGUACUGAGACACGGACCAGACUCCGACGGGAGGCAGCAGUGAGGAAUAUUGGUCAAGGGGAGCAACCCUGAUCCAGCCAUGCCGCGUGCAGGAAGACGGCUCUAUGAGUUGUAAACUGCUUUUAAACAGGGAUAAAGCACAGUAUGUAUACUGUGUUGAAGGUACUGUAAGAAUAAGGAUCGGCUAACUCCGUGCCAGCCGCCGCAGUAA